CAGAAAUCAAACGUGUCCAGCUCCCUGCCCUGGGCCUGGGCCUGGUCACUAGGCACAAGGCUGAUGCCCUGGUAUGAGGAACUAGAUUCCAGCAUAACUCGUGAUGUCACGUGACAGGUGUCUAGAGGUUCCAGAAGAUUCCCCCGGGAAGAGGAAAUGGCAACCCGCUCCAGGAUUCUUACUCGGAAUUCCAUGGACAAAGGCGCCUGGCGAGCUACAAUCCACGGGGCGGCAGGCUGGAGGACAAGCCUGAGGGACUAAGCGUCUGUGCGUCCCGCAUCUGGGCAGCUGCGGCGUCACAUCCCGUGACCGGCCGGGCUCACGGUGCUCGGCCGCCCUCUAGCGGCUCCUGUCCAAGCUGUUCUGCUCUUCAGCGCCAUCCCUUCGAAAUACUGUGCUGGAUUUGGGUCAUCGUUACAUGUCGGGAGCCGCCGGGUGUGCCCAAACCGUGACAAGGUCACGGGAUGAGAGAGGAACCUGCAAGCCAGCUCUUCCUCACACGGGGCUGCCCCGGGGGCCCAAUAUGUCCCCUAGGGAGCCGCCGGGAUGAGAAAGGAAUCUGCAAGGCAGUUCUUCCCCUCGAGGUUGUGCCGGGGGCCCGGAUGAAAAGUUCUACCUGUGUUAAAGUUCUGCAUAACUUGGAAUGGACAAAGGAAAACUGCAUCCUUCAAACUCUUGUAGAGAGAAAGUGAGCACAAAAAAAUGAAGAUCAGCACUCUAGCUGUAUAACUCAGCAGUGGAAUUGCUGGGGUUUGGGGGCCCACAACCAACAUUCCUCAGGAUACCAAACUUUCCAAGGCAGCUGUGCUAAUUUACAUUCCCCCCAUCAGCAGUGGAGACAAGUUCCACUACUCCCAAUUUCUCCCCAGCUCACUGGCUUCGUGGAGGCCUGCAACAUUCAUGAAGCAGACAUGGCCACUGUCUCUCUGGGGAAGGUCAAGGCUAAGUAGAGGUAACUUAAGAGCCUGGACCCCUUCUGGGGCUUCUGAGCCUGUGAAAUCAGAGUCUGGAGAACUAGAUCAAAGAGUCCUAAUGACAUCUUUCUACAAAAGCCCAAAGCACUUGUUGCUGUAGAGAGGCAGCCAGCCCCCCAUUGUAUCCCAGUGAUGGCUUCAUGCCAGGCCUUGGCUCCUGCCCACUCCCUUUAUCUCUGAGCUAACCAGUCACCCGUUCACAUGGCCUGUCUCUGGGCAGGAAGCUAGGCAUUUGAUAGCACUGACUUGUUACCAUCUUGCUCCGGUCCUCCAGUCACCUUAGUGGAGUCAUGGUAUAUUCAGACCUAAUGCAUGGAUUCCACUAGUCAGAUCCUGGGAAGCCAGCCUCUAGCCUCUUCUUGUGUGUGUGUGGAGAAUGCUCACCUCCCAGUUAUGUACUGUCCCAUAUUCUCAGCCCCUUGCACAAGGUUAACCAAAAAUGCCCAGUUGGCUAGUGACCAGACAACAGGGUGGAGAGUGUGUGGGGGUAGAGCAGAAGCUCCAGCCCCACCCCGCCUCCACCCCUUUAUUGGGAGUUGAUCAAGGCCCUGUAGUUGUCAGUUGUUGCCGCCAGAGGGCGAAGUACGCAGCACUUUGGGAGAGCCGGUUUAGGAAUGAUGGAAUUGCCACUUUCCAAAAUCAAACUAGACAAACUUACUGUCUCUGCGUACUCCAGCUGUGUUCGCCGUCCUUCAUCUGAGUUUGGUAGCAUCCCCUCAAGAAAGGUCUUUUUAACCUGCUUGCCUCCCCCCUCCCUCCCCCUCCUAGCCCUUACCGGCCGUGGGGCAGGUCCUUGUUGCCGCCGUCCUCGGGCCCCGCCUCCCCAGACCAGACGCUGAUCUCACACGCCUGGAAGAAGCCUGAUGAGUUAGGAUCUCCUUGGCCUUUUUCUCUCUCUUGGCCAUGUCCUUCUGCUUCCGCAGCCUGAUCUCUGACACAGUUUUUCCCAUAUCUUUCUUUUAAGGAAGACGUCUCUGCCCCUUACAUUAUUA